rnacentral:lncRNA from 1 species
AGAGCCAAGUUUUACUACUGCAGCAACCAGGAAUGGAUUUUUAUAUCAAACUCUAAAAAUGACACCAUCUGCCUAUAGCACAGUGCGCCGUACCACCACUGCCUGGCACUCCACACCAUUGACCCCACUAAGCAAUGGGCCAUACGAGAAAAGCUAUGUAACUAUUUGGGGUGAUUUGUUUGUUUUGUUAACCCAAUACAGUUUUACAGAUAUAGCUUAUUCUGCUUCCUGAACAGUCACAAGCUAUGUGCUGCUGCAGGCACUUACACUUCUAUAUAGUUCCUAGCUUUCAUCCACUGAUUUUGAGACUGAGGAACUUUCAGUCUAUGGAUCUAUCUGGAAAAAGAGGUAAAGGGGCAACUGCCCUCCAAGCGCAUACGGUUCUCAGAUACCAUGGUGAUAAGUGCACCAGAAGUUUCCUGUGUAGACAAGCCCUCAGCACACUUGAUUGACGGUUCUCCCAUCCACGUACUGUCCCUUACCAGCACCGCUUAGCUUCGGAGCUUAUCCCGCCUCUCCUGGAGGCCAAAGGGCAGUAUCUGUGUCGUAAGUGGCGAGCGGGAUCUGUCAGUCAGUCACUGUACCGAAAGCCGGAGGGCCAGCGUGCGUCACUCACAGCUGCCGCGGUUUGGUUCCGCGUCCCGGCCCCUCCCUCUCCCGCCCCUUCCUCAGCGGGGACAACACGUGGCCCAGCCGGAACCUGACCGAGCGCCGCCUGGGGACGGAGGCAGUGUGGGUGGGUGGCCAGGAGGCGGCAGCAGAGACUGGGUGCAGAGCCAGCGUCCCCAUCGGGGUGGCUGGAAAGUGUACGUUGUAGGUGAAGAGCAAAGGACUACUAGAAUGCUUGAUUCCUGGGUCCUCUUCCAUGAUGUUGUCAUUUAUUUAUCUUGGCCUAUUUGCUUAGGGCCAGAUUUUUAUCUAUGAGGUCUCUGAGGCAUUUGGCUGCGUAAGAAGUAAUCUCACUUUUGGGCCCAACUGGGUAGGUAUGCAUGUCCGAGUACAUUUUGAGGCCAGGAGACAAUUUAGCUCUUCACUAUGUGUUUCAGUUUCCCCAUCUCGAAAAUUGGUAUUGUAGAGAACUUCAAGAUGCUUAAAUGAAAGGUGCUGUGGAUGGGUAGUACCUCUCAUAACUCAAGCCUGACCCCAGAUGUACAGUACCUUCCUUCUUAACUUGUGUAAAAUUGAUUUUAAACAUUAGCUUUAAUAUUUUUUUUUCAAUAUUACAGUCCUAAAGUUAUUUCCUAAAAGUAGUUUUUGGCUCUCAUAGACUUUAAGGUCAGAAGGGACCAUUCAUGAUCAACAAGUCUGACCUCCCGCACUUUGCAGGCCACAGAACCUCAUCCUGUAAUAGACCCAUAACCUCUGGCUGAGUUACUGAAGCCCUC